rnacentral:rRNA from 1 species
CAGCCGUAAACAAUGUGCGUUAGGUGUGUCGGUAACCACGCGUUACUGAUGCGCCGAAGAGAAAUCGUGAAACGCACCACCUGGGAAGUACGGUCGCAAGGCUGAAACUUAAAGGAAUUGGCGGGGGGAGCACCACAACAGGUGGAGCCUGCGGUUUAAUUGGACUCAACGCCGGGAAGCUCACCGGAUAGGACAGCAGAAUGAUUGCCGGGCUGAAGACCCUGCAUGACUAGCUGAGAGGAGGUGCAUGGCCGUCAGUGACU